UUAAGUUAGUUUGAAGCCCCUAGGAGCCAAUGUAUGUAUAUUUUCAUGAUUUGGAUGAGUUAUAUGCAUGUUGAGGGAUUUGGGAGGCAAAUGUGCAUAAAGGAGCCAAGUUUCUGCCCUUUGGCAGAAACCAGGUUCGGCAGCCGAUGGAACUUUCGGCCGCCGAACAUGGCUGGGGAGGCAGGCCUUUCGGCUGCCGAAGUUGCCCCCGAAAAGAGACUUUCGUCUCUGUCUGGGACUUUCGGCCGCCGAAGGUGCCGCCGAACCUGC
rnacentral:lncRNA from 1 species